GGGGGGGGGGGCGCCCACGGGGUUUAAGACACGGAAUCCCCCCGGAACACAGCCGAGAGACGCGGGCUCGCGACAGCAAUUUAAUAACACCCCAGAGAGCAGCCAAGAAAAAAAAAGCACAAAUGCCCCUGGAUAGUGAUGUCUUGGGGAAUGGGCGCAUCUUCUCGGCCUAUGCGGGUCACUCCUGGAACAGUGACAAACAACAGAUGCGACCGCUUGGAAUACACGUGUGAAACUGAUGCCCAAGGGCAGCAGGGUAAUGGCCACGCUCAGCCUCCCACUGCCCAGACUGACCAGAUGAGGCGUAGCCGUCUGGACCUUCAGCCCUUUCCCGGUGUCGAUCAGGUCCAGGGGUGGAGACUGCAGGCAUCCGUCAGAUUGGAGGGCAUCUCCUCCCCUCGCAUUCCGGCGAUACGCUCUUCUCCUCCCACCUGACAAAGCCAGCAUUGUAUCACAGAUGCUGUUUAAUAUGGAGUCUUUCUCCUUGUGCCCCUCGUACAGAGCAGCGGCCUCACAGCAGUAAAA